CACAAGGUUCUCUUUGGAACCACUUAUUUUUCUUGAUCCAUUUUAG
rfam:Myotis brandtii contig267121, whole genome shotgun sequence.